AGUGAACGCUGGCGGUAGGCCUAACACAUGCAAGUCGAACGGCAGCACAGUAAGAGCUUGCUCUUACGGGUGGCGAGUGGCGGACGGGUGAGGAAUACAUCGGAAUCUACUUUUUCGUGGGGGAUAACGUAGGGAAACUUACGCUAAUACCGCAUACGACCUACGGGUGAAAGCAUGGGAUCUUCGGACCUUGCGCGAUUGAAUGAGCCGAUGUCGGAUUAGCUAGUUGGCGGGGUAAAGGCCCACCAAGGCGACGAUCCGUAGCUGGUCUGAGAGGAUGAUCAGCCACACUGGAACUGAGACACGGUCCAGACUCCUACGGGAGGCAGCAGUGGGGAAUAUUGGACAAUGGGCGAAAGCCUGAUCCAGCCAUACCGCGUGGGUGAAGAAGGCCUUCGGGUUUUAAAGCCCUUUUGUUGGGAAAGAAAAGCAGCAGGUUAAUACCCCGCUGUUCUGACGGUACCCAAAGAAUAAGCACCGGCUAACUUCGUG
rnacentral:rRNA from 1 species